UUCUUAGAGAUCACACAACCAUUGUUUUCACUCGCAAAUGAAUAACCAUCUUUCAUCAAGCAUGAAGGAGACAAAAUGUUUCGACUUAAACUAGGAACGAAAUAACAAUUAUUCAACUCCAUAAUAAAUCCUGAUGGGAGGUGGAGUUGCAUCGUCCCGAUGGUCAACGCAGCAACUCUUGCAUUAUUGCCCACGCGGAAAUCAACUUCUCCUCUUUCCACGCUUCUACUUCUUAUCAUUCCCUGCAUCGAAUUGCAAAUAUGAGCAACCGAUCCGGUAUCAAAUACCCAAGAAU
rnacentral:lncRNA from 1 species